rnacentral:tRNA from 1 species
GGGGAGGUUCCCGAGCGGUCAAAGGGAACAGACUGUAAAUCUGUCGGCUUCGCCUUCGGAGGUUCAAAUCCUCCCCUCCCCACCA